rnacentral:rRNA from 1 species
UACGGAGGGUGCGAGCGUUGUCCGGAAUCACUGGGCGUAAAGGGCGCGUAGGUGGCUCGUGAAGCGUGCGGUGAAAGUCCGAGGCUCAACCUCGGAUCGGCCGUGCGGACUCGCGGGCUCGAGCGUUGUAGAGGCGGGUGGAAUUCCGGGUGUAGCGGUGGAAUGCGUAGAGAUCCGGAAGAACACCGGUGGCGAAGGCGGCUCUCUGGGACGGUACUGACGCUGAGACGCGAAAGCGUGGGGAGCGAACAGG